rnacentral:lncRNA from 1 species
GUGUUAAUGGAAUUUUCUGAAUCUAAAGGUAGCUGCACUAAGAACCCGUGUACAGUAGAGUCUUCAUUCAAAGAUGUAAUGUACUUCAUCACCUAAAAGUACCAUGAUUGCACCAGUGCACAGUGAGUCAUGGUACUAUGGCUGGGCAGCCUGGGCAACAGAGAGAGACCUUGUCUCUUAAAAAAAAAAAAAAAGAGAGAGACAGGGAGAAACUUGUAGUGCAGAGGCCAAAUCCUUUGAACCACCAUGCAGUGUCUCACUGUGUUCCCUCUGUUUCUUUGACCAUGAACAUAUUUAUAGUUUAUCAUUAUAACCAUUUAUUUGUAAAAUUUUAUUGUACUAAUAUUGUUUCAUGCUCCAGUGGUUGGUAUUUCUCCUUCUCAAGGUUGAUAUAUGCUACCAUAAGUUGUGUUUCUCCCAGAAUUGCAGAGGGUAUCACAGAGGGAAAGGUGGUGGUCCCUUCAUAUCAAAGAUAACUGAAGCAUAGCUCCUUUUAACAGGACCAUGGCAGAGAAAGAAGCCCGCUUUUGUAACAGAGGAUUUUCUGACCUUGUCAUAUUGGCGCUAUUACUGGACGCUCUCCUCAGAUCUCAGGACAUGGCCUGAAUCUUAGUUUCAGUUGUCCCUUAUACAGACAGUUCUCAGUUUU